UACGUUGAAAUACCAGUUCCCGUACGAUCUUUGACGUUAAGAAAAGUCGAGCCUGGUCAGUACCUAGAUGAGUGACUGCUACGGAAAACAAGGUGCUGUAA